rnacentral:rRNA from 1 species
GACGAACGCUGGCGGCGUGCUUAACACAUGCAAGUCGAACGGAAAGGCCCUGCUUUUGUGGGGUGCUCGAGUGGCGAACGGGUGAGUAACACGUGAGUAACCUGCCCUUGACUUUGGGAUAACUUCAGGAAACUGGGGCUAAUACCGGAUAGGAGCUCCUGCUGCAUGGUGGGGGUUGGAAAGUUUCGGCGGUUGGGGAUGGACUCGCGGCUUAUCAGCUUGUUGGUGGGGUAGUGGCUUACCAAGGCUUUGACGGGUAGCCGGCCUGAGAGGGUGACCGGCCACAUUGGGACUGGGAUACGGCCCAGACUCCUACGGGAGGCAGCAGUGGGGAAUAUUGCACAAUGGGCGGAAGCCUGAUGCAGCAACGCCGCGUGCGGGAUGACGGCCUUCGGGUUGUAAACCGCUUUCGCCUGUGGCGAAGCGUGAGUGACGGUAAUGGGUAAAGAAGCACCGGCUAACUACGUG